rnacentral:rRNA from 1 species
GAUGAACGCUGGCGGCGUGCCUAAUACAUGCAAGUCGAGCGAAUGGAUUGAGAGCUUGCUCUUAUGAAGUUAGCGGCGGACGGGUGAGUAACACGUGGGUAACCUGCCCAUAAGACUGGGAUAACUCCGGGAAACCGGGGCUAAUACCGGAUAACAUUUUGAACCGCAUGGUUCGAAAUUGAAAGGCGGCUUCGGCUGUCACUCAUGGAUGGACCCGCGUCGCAUUAGCUAGUUGGUGAGGUAACGGCUCACCAAGGCAACGAUGCGUUGCCGACCUGAGAGGGUGAUCGGCCACACUGGGACUGAGACACGGCCCAGACUCCUACGGGAGGCAGCAGUAGGGAAUCUUCCGCAAUGGACGAAAGUCUGACGGAGCAACGCCGCGUGAGUGAUGAAGGCUUUCGGGUCGUAAAACUCUGUUGUUAGGGAAGAACAAGUGCUAGUUGAAUAAGCUGGCACCUUGACGGUACCUAACCAGAAAGCCACGGCUAACUACGUGCCAGCCGCCGCCGUAA